ACAUGACGGCGGUCCCGGCAAUAACCGCUGGCUAGGUGCGCCCGGCCGGCGGAAGCAACAGGGGAGGGUAGAGAAAAGC
rnacentral:ribozyme from 1 species